rnacentral:rRNA from 1 species
GGGAACUACGAGCUAAGCUUAAAACCUAAAAGACUUGACGGUACCCCAUAUCCCCCUAGAGGAGCCUGUCCUUUAAUCGACAAUCCCCGUUUUACCUCACCAUUUUUUGCUAAUCAGCCUGUAUACUUCCGUCGUCAGCUUACCACGUGAGCGUCAGUGAGCCCAAUGUUUUUUCAACUACACGUCAGGUCAAGGUGCAGCACAUGAAAUGGAAAGAGAUGGGCUACACUCUCUAAUAUAGAGAAUACGAAAAACUUUAUGAAAUCUAGUCAAAAGGUGGAUUUAGAAGU